UGGUCAUUAUUCUUUGCAUGAUUGUGGUUGCUGAGAAUCAAAGUUCAUUCCAAGCUAGUCUGUCCCAAGUUGACAUACUGAACUUGGGCGGUUUUAGAGAAAAAAAGAAAGAAGCUGGGAAAAUGCUGGAGGCAUUUCAGCUUUUAUUGAAUGAUAGACUAAUCACAUGCAAAUUUGUAUUUAAAAAAAAAUCACAAACUUGAGGACUCCUCAUAAUAAGAUUGCAGUCCUAUUCCUUUUGAAUGAUCCUGCAAGAUCUUUGAGUGCCAGAGUAUUCUAUUCCUUUGGCUUCUUUCCAGUCUUUGGAGCAAGAACUCCGUCAACAUUGGCAAUUUCCUGCAUGCCUCCGAGCUACCUCUGGGAGGCAAAGAUUCCAGAGCCAGGCAAGUCAGUAACUCUGGGCAAUCGUAUGGUUUACAUUCUGCAACAGCUGAGCUUCCAGCAUUCUCAUCCUCUGGGAGGAGGAGAAAGGCGGGGUCACCCACACUGUUUGCCUUGAUACCCACGCUCCUACACUCUGGUUUGGAAACUUGAAGCUGGCUGUGUCCACGCUCAGCCUACACUGUGCCACUCUCAGCAUUCCUCCUGCCUGGCUUCAUUCACUUCCCCGAUCUAUUUGUAUACCUGGGGGUCUUCCAUUGCUGAUAGGCUCUGGGAAGACAGGGGUGCCGUCUCCUUCUUAUCUCUCGAGCACCGAACACAGAAUUUUGCCCAUGGAAACUACUAGGAAGACAUCUGCUAAAUAGUAAUAAAUUUUUUUUUUUAAGUCGUGCAUUUUGGUCCUUUUGAUAAGUCCGUCUUCUCUUGACAAGUCUGGCUGCAUUAAAAUUCUUACCACUACUAUGGUGAUGUCUCACUUAAAUUUUAUGU